rnacentral:rRNA from 1 species
UUGGAGGGCAAGUCUGGUGCCAGCAGCCGCGGUAAUUCCAGCUCCAAUAGCGUAUAUUAAAGUUGUUGUGGUUAAAAAGCUCGUAGUUGAACCUUGGGCCUGGCUGGCCGGUCCGCCUCACCGCGUGUACUGGUCCGGCCGGGCCUUUCCCUCUGUGGAACCCCAUGCCCUUCACUGGGUGUGGCGGGGAAACAGGACUUUUACUUUGAAAAAAUUAGAGUGCUCCAGGCAGGCCUAUGCUCGAAUACAUUAGCAUGGAAUAAUAGAAUAGGACGUGUGG